rnacentral:misc_RNA from 1 species
AUGAAUUAAAUGAUGAGGUUGUUGCUGGCCCUACAUGGGCAUGUGCACAUCUUGUCAAUUCAUCCAAACAUCUUUGUGCACUUUUCAUAGAUGGGCUCAUUAACAAAAGUUGCCUCUGGGUAGCUUGAGCCCCUCUGUGUAUUUUAAUUACAAACAUCUCAGUCUUAGAAUGUAAACUAUGCAUUUAAUGCAAUGAAAUA